rnacentral:rRNA from 1 species
AUUGAACGCUGGCGGCAUGCCUUACACAUGCAAGUCGAACGGUAACGGGCCUUCGGGUGCCGACGAGUGGCGAACGGGUGAGUAAUGCAUCGGAACGUACCUUUCAGUGGGGGAUAACGUAGCGAAAGUUACGCUAAUACCGCAUAUUCUGUGAGCAGGAAAGCAGGGGAUCGCAAGACCUUGCGCUGAUUGAGCGGCCGAUGUCAGAUUAGCUAGUUGGUGAGGUAAAGGCUCACCAAGGCGACGAUCUGUAGCGGGUCUGAGAGGAUGAUCCGCCACACUGGAACUGAGACACGGUCCAGACUCCUACGGGAGGCAGCAGUGGGGAAUUUUGGACAAUGGGGGCAACCCUGAUCCAGCCAUGCCGCGUGAGUGAAGAAGGCCUUCGGGUUGU